rnacentral:lncRNA from 1 species
GUUCAUAAUCCAGCUCGUUUACCCAACAAACAAUAAAACAGAAGGCAGGAUUGUUCGGAGAUGCCGGAUGGCAGCCAUGAGAAAGACCCCACUGGUCUGAGAGGUCUGUGCAGGAAUGCACGGAGCCUGGGAAACACAGAGAGGUAUGGGGCCUGAGGGUGAGGACGCAGGACAGGUUAGGGACGGGUGGCGCUGGGUGCUGGCUCUGGCAGAGAGCAAGCCAACUGGGGGCAUUUCUUUCCAGCCCCGUGGCUGAUGGUCUCGCCGUGCGUGAUGGUGAAUUUUAUGUGUCGCCUUGAUGGGACCUUGGGGGUGCUCAGACAUUUGGUCAAGCCUCUGUGUUUGCGAGGAUGUUUCUGGAUGGGACUAGCAUUCAAAUCUGCAGACCGAGGCAAGCAGAGUGUCCUCCCCGCAGAAGGUGGGCCUCACCUCAUCCAUCAGGGGCCUGAAUAGAAUAAAAAGUUGAAGAGGAGAGAAUUAUUUGCCUCUGCCUGUCUUCAAGGUGGAACCAUAGGUCUUCUCCUGCCUUUGGACUUAGACUCAGCAGAAAGAGCACCUCCCCUGGCCAAUGCUUUUGGCAGGAUUCCAGAAUGUGCACUCCUGGAGCCCUGGACCACGGCUGGCUUGGUUCCAGCCCAUCUGUGACCAUCUCUCCUAGGAUGCUGGGAUGUUCUGUGGGGCCAAGCUAGGGCUACUUGCCUACUUCUGCUGCAAGGGAGGGGUCAGCCCCAUGGGAACCAUAAGUGUGGGGAUUGGGGCAGCCUGAUUCUCUAGGAAGAACUGCUGCCCUCUUUCUAGGAAAAAGGAGAAGGGAUUUCAGGCAGCCCAAGCUAACAGAGGCCUGCUGUGCACUUGUGUGUUCUGAGCACUGGCUAGGAAGUGCAGGGCUUCCAAGAAGACCUAAAAUUCAUGAGAACCAAGACAAGGCAGUGAAGGUGUGAUCCUGAUAAAAGGUGACCAAGACAAGGCAGUGAACGUGUCAUCCUGAUAAAAGCUAAGGGCACGCCAGUGCACGCCUAAUGCAGGCGGGGUGACACCUGCACAGUUCCAUCUGCUGCUUCACGACGUGUUGCUAACUCAGUCGCCGACCACUGGACUCUGGGCUGCUCCAUUCCUAACUUCCACAGUGUUGAUGGAUACCGAUGCAAGCCCUUCUGGGGAAGACACAGUGAGAGCCUCUCUCAGCCAUGCAUUCCUCAGCCUGACUGCAAGGUCGCAGCCCCCUACAAAGCCCAGUCUGAGUGCUUCCCAGGCUGCCAUGUGCCAGGUCUCCCUCCCACGGCUGUCCUGGAAGGCUCUGCUUUGCACCAACUUGCCAGCACUUGGCAUUAGUCAACCCUCUAGCUUUUACCAAUCUGAUGGGUGUAAAGGGAAUUCCUGCGUUUUACUUUGCAUUUCUCUGAUUCCUGUGGGUUUGAGCAGCUCUUCAUUGAAUUGUGUGUCAUUUGCACUUUCCCUUCUGGGAAUUGUCUGUUGGGGUUGGCUUUCUGUCAACUUAAACAGGAGCAAACUUGGUUACUUUUAAUUAAAAGCAGGCUCGUGGCAGCAGGGGAGUUUUACAUGCAUAGGAAGGUCAGGUCCAGCCCUGCCCAUCUUCGUGCAUACUCUCUCUUUGGUCACUGCUGUGCGGCAUGGUGAGCUUGGCACCUGGCCUUCAGAAUGCAGCCACAGAAGGGAGUUCAUGGGCUAGGCAUUCUGCUAAGGGACACAGCUGUCUCUGGCUCCUGCAUCCAAUUACUGGACUCUCUGCUUCAUUGCUCUGGUGGAGCUGCCAGCCUGAGUCUCCACAUGUUCUUUCAACACUCCCUUGGUGGCCAGCCCAGUGUGCUUUUAAUCAUUGACAAGCAAGAGGAUGCCACAGAGAAGGAUGUUGGCUGCUGUUCAGGCAUUUGGGGACUGGCAGGGAGGGCUGCUGUCCACGACGGAGGAUGCCACAAGUGGAUUCAAGACUGAGUUUUUUGUUUUUCUAUCCAUCAACUCAAGCAUUUGUUAUUUUGUUUGUGUUACACAUAGUCCAAUUAUACUCUUUUAGCUAUUUUUAAAUGUACAAUAAAUUUUUAUUGAUUCUAGUCACCCUGUUGUGCUAUCAAAUGCUAGAUCUUAUUCAUUCUAAUUAUAUUUUUGUACCCAUUAGCCAUCCCCUUUCUCUCCUUCCCACCCCCCAACUACCCUUUGCAGCAUCUGGUAACCAUCAUUCUACUCUCUAUCUCCAUGAGUUCAAUUGUUUUCGUUUUUAGCUCCCACAAAUAACUGAGAACAUUUGAAGUUUGUCUUUCUGUGCCUGGCUAAUUUCGCUUAACAUAAUGACCUCCAGUUCCAUCCAUGCUGUUGCAAAUGGCAGGAUCUCAUUAUUUUUAUGACUGAAUAGUACUCCACUGUGUAAACGCACUGCAUUUUCUUUAUCCGUUCCUCUGUCAAUGGACACUUAGGUUGCUCCCAAAUCUUGGCUUUUGUGAACAGUGUUGCAAUAAACAUGGCAGUACAAAUAUCUUUUCGAUAUACUAAUAUCCAUUCUUUGGGGUAUAUACCUAGUAAUGGGAAUGCUGGAUCAUAUAGCAGCUCUAUUUUUAGUUUUUUGAGACACCACCAAACUGUUCUUCACAGUGGCUGUACUAAUUUACUUUUCCACCAAUAGUGUACGAGAGUUCCCUAAUCUUCACAUCCUCACCAGCAUUCGUUAUUGCCUGUCUUUUGGAUAAAAAUCAUUUUAAUUGGAGUGAGAUGAUAUCUCAUUGUGGUUUUGAUUUGCAUUUCUCUGAUGAUCAGUGAUGUUGAACAUCUUUUCAUAUGCCUGUUUGCCAUUUGUAUGUCUUUUUUUUUUUUGAGAAAUGUCUAUUCCAAUCUUUUGUCUAUUUUUUAAUCAGACUAUUGGAUUUUUUCCUGUUGAGCUGUUUGAGCUCCUUAUAUAUUCUGAUUAUUAAUCCCUUGUCAGAUGGGUAGUUUGCAAAUAUUUUCUCCCACUCUGUGGGGUGGCUCUUUACUUUGUUGAUUGUUUCCUUUGCUGUGCAGAAGCUUUUUAACUUGAUGUGAUCCCAUUUGUCCAUUUUUGCUUUGGUUGCCUGUGCUUGUAGGAUAUUACUCAGGAAAUCUUUGCCCAGUCCAAUGUCCUGGAGCAUUUCCCCAAUGUUUUCUUUUAGUAAUUUCAUAGUGCGAGGUCUUAGAUUUAAGUCUUUACUCCAUUUUGAUUUGAUUUUUUUAUAUGGUGAGAGAUAGGGGUCUAGUUUUCUUCUUCUGCAUAUGGAUAUCUAGUUCUCCCAGCACCAUUUAUUGAAGUGACUGUCCUUUCCCCAAUGUGUGUGUUCUUGGCACCUUUGUCAAAAAUGAGUUCACUGUAAAUGUAGGGAUAUAUUUCUGGGUUCUUUAUUCUUUUCCAUUGGUCUAUGUGUCUGUGUUUAUGCCAGUACCAUACUGUUUUUAUUACCAUAGCUCUGUAGUAUAAUUUGAACUCAGCUAAUGUGAUUCCUCCAGUUUUGUUCCUUUUGUUCAGGAUAGCUUUGGCUAUUUUGGGUCUUUUGUGGUUCCAAAUAAAUUUUGGAAUUAUUUUUUCUAUUUCUGUGAAGAAUGUCAUUGGUAUUUUGAUAGGAAUUGCAUUGAAUUUGUAGAUUGCUUUGGGUAGUAUGGACGUUUUAACAGUAUUGAUUCUUCCAAUCCAUGAACAUAGAAUAUCUUUCCAUUUUUUCUGUCCUCCUCAAUUUUAAUUGCUUGCAUCAAUCUUUUAUAGUUUUCAUUGUAGAGAUCUUUUACUUCCUUGGUUAAAUUUAUUCCUGGGUAUUUUAUUAUAUUUGCACCUAUUGUAAAUGGGAUUACUUUCUGGAUUUUUUUCAGAUUAUUUGUUGUUGGCAUAUAGAAAUGCUAUUGAUUUUUGUGAGUUGAUUUUGUAUCCUGCAACUUUAUCAAAUUUUUUUUUAUCAGUUCAAAGAGAUUUCUGGUGGAGUAUUCAGGUUUCUCCAAAUAUUGGAUCAUAUCAUCUGUAAACAUGGUUAACUUGACUUCUUCCUUUCCAAUUUGGAUGCUCUUUAUUUUUAUCUUUUGUCUAGUUGCUCUAGCUAAGACUUACAGUGCUAUGUUGAAUAACAGUGGUGAAAGAAGGCAUCCCUGUCUUGUUCCAGAUCUUAGAGGUAAGGUUUUUAGUUUUUCUUCUUCAGUGUGACACUAGCUGUGGGUCCAUCAUAUAUGACGUUUGUUGUGUUGAGGUAUGUUCCUCCCAUACCCAGUUCUUUGAGAG